rnacentral:rRNA from 1 species
GGGGCUAUCGGUAGCUACCAUGCAAGUCGAACGGGAUUGAGAGCUUGCUCUCAUGAGAGUGGCGCACGGGUGAGUAACACGUAUGCAACCUACCUUUAACUGAGGGAUAGCCCAUAGAAAUGUGGAUUAGUACCUCAUAGUUCUUUUGAACCGCAUGGUUUAAAAGAUAAAGCUCCGGCGGUUAAAGAUGGGCAUGCGUGACAUUAGUUUGUUGGUGAGGUAACGGCUCACCAAGACUACGAUGUCUAGGGGUUCUGAGAGGAUGAUCCCCCACACUGGUACUGAGACACGGACCAGACUCCUACGGGAGGCAGCAGUGAGGAAUAUUGGUCAAUGGGCGCAAGCCUGAACCAGCCAUCCCGCGUGCAGGAUGAAGGCCCUAUGGGUCGUAAACUGCUUUUAUACACCAAGAAAAACACCCACGUGUGGGUGCCCGACGGUAGUGUAUGAAUAAGCAUCGGCUAACUCCGUGCCAGCAGCCGCGGUAAUACGGAGGAUGCAAGCGUUAUCCGGAUUCAUUGGGUUUAAAGGGUGCGUAGGCGGCUUUUUAAGUCAGUGGUGAAAUCUUGCCGCUUAACGGUAAAAUUGCCAUUGAUACUGACAAGCUUGAGUACAUUUGAGGUAAGCGGAAUGUGUAGUGUAGCGGUGAAAUGCUUAGAUAUUACACAGAACACCGAUUGCGAAGGCAGCUUACUAAACUGUUACUGACGCUGAUGCACGAAAGCGUGGGGAGCGAACAGGAUUAGAUACCCUGGUAGUCCACGCCGUAAACGAUGAUCACUCGCUGUAUGCGAUACACAGUAUGCGGCCAAGCGAAAGCAUUAAGUGAUCCACCUAGGGAGUACGAUCGCAAGGUUGAAACUCAAAGGAAUUGACGGGGGCCCGCACAAGCGGAGGAACAUGUGGUUUAAUUCGAUGAUACGCGAGGAACUUACCUGGGCUUAAAUGGGGAACGACAGCUGCCGAAAGUGGCCUUCUUCGGACGUUCUUCAGGUGCUGCAUGAUUGUCGUCA